UUUUCAGUUGCUCGGUACCAGUAAGUAGGAGCAGCUGAAGAGAGGGAUGCAGCUACUGAACUGCUCUGUGGCCACUCAUUCAACACCACUGCCAACCACAAAAUGGACAAACACUGCAAACGGCUACUGCUGGACCCUUGGUUUGAGGCAAACUCUGUCAUAUCCAGGAUGAAGUGUCAUGCACUCCACCCCUCCUGACACCCGACUGCACCUGUACGUACAUGAAGACAGAACCUCACCCAGAGACCUGGGAAUGUCGAUGAACAAAAAAACGAGAUGCCGAGAUGCAGCAGUGUGUAUGAAGACUCUCCGGUGUCAGUGUCCGAGGGGUUGGCUGAGAGAGUUUUUAAGGUGACUGUGGAGAGGGCCAGAGCGGGGAGCAACCCUUAUACUGCAUGCAUCUACCCAUGGAUCUAUCAAGAACACUCCCUGUGGUACAGCCAUUACUGGUAAGACGGGGAGAAAGAAGGGAUGAGGGAGGAGAUGUGUGUAGGUGGUGAGGAGGCAGAACAUGUCGUACCCUCUGUCCUGAAGAGGUUAGUGUGCAAGGGCGCUAACCUGCUACUCUCCCUCUGCUCCCUCUGAGGAAGAACAUCCUGGAAAACAUUUACCUUCCUCUCCUUUUUGUGUGUUGUGUGUGUGUGUGUGUCCAGUUGUUUUAGUCUACUCAUAAAAGUGUGUUUGUCUUUCAAGAAAUUCCACAAAUUAACUUUUAACAAGGUAGGCACACCUACCUCAUGAAGCUGGUUGAGAUAAUACCAAGUGUGCAAAGCAAAGGGUGGAAACUUUGAAUAAUCUCAAAGUAUUAAGUAUAUUUUGAUUUGUUUAACACGUUUUUUGGUUACUAUGUGAUUCCAUAUGUGUUAUUUCAUAGUUUUGAUGUCUUCACUAUUAUUCUACAAUGUAAAAAUGUGUAAAAAUACAGAAAAACCCUUGAAUGAGUAGGGGUCUCCCAAACUUUUGACUGGUACUGAAUGUGUAUGUCUGUACAGUAUAUGUCUAUAUACAGUGCAUUUGUAAUGUAUUGAGAACCCUUGACUUUUUCUACAUUUUGUUACGUUACAGCCUUAAAUUGCUGAAAUUGUUUUUUUCCCUGAUCAAUCUACACACAAUACCCCAUAAUGACAAAGCAAAAACACGGUUGUAGACAUUUCAGCAAAAAAAAUAUCACAUUACAUAAGUAUUCAAACCCUUCACUCAGUACUUUGUUGAAGCACCUUUGGCAGUGACUCCAGCCUCGAGUCGUCUUGGGUAUGAUACUACAAACUUAGCACACCUGUAUUUGGGGAGUUUCUCCCAUUCUUCUCUGCAUAUCCUCUCAAGCUAUGUUAGGUUGGAUGGGGUGCGUUGCUGCACAGGUUUUUUCAGGUCUCUCCAGAGAUGUUCGAUCAGGUUCAAUUCCGGGCUCUGGCUGGGCGACUCAAAGACAGAGACUUGUCCCGAAGUCACUCCUGCGUUGUCUUAGCUGUGUGCUUAUGUGAACUUUCGCCCCAGUCUGAGGUCCCGUUUGCUCUGGAGCAGGUUUUCAUCAAGGAUCUCUCUAUAAGUCUCUCUAUAAGUUCCUGUUGAACACAUCCUGUUGAACGUGGAACAAGGGAGAGCUUGGUUUGUUGUUUUGAAAUUAUAUUGGAAAGUUUCUUCGUAGCUAGCUAAGUUUUUAGUUUGAAUUCUGCGACGCAUUUGACAUCAGUUACUGAAACUGCUACUCUCUGUCCAGUGAUCCUGUCGACCAAGGCCGUGUCUGAGGAGCUAUUUGGCGUAGCAACUAGCCUAGCUGCUUAAUAGCUGCCUAUCAAGCUAGCAGGGUUCAUUGAGGACUUGAAUGUAGCCCGCGACGUGGUUAGCCAUUGUGGCUGGGACCGCGGAUUGUCCCGGGUUUGUGGCUGUCUAGAUCCCUGCUGUUUGUUGUGUUCAAUCUUCCCUGUGACCUGUCCUGUCUGGAACUUCAAGGAGUAACAGCGUAACCUACGUUGCUAGGUACGGUGACAAAGACCAAAGCCGGCGGGAGUAUUGUUGAGGACAUUGGUGUCUCUCUAUCACAAGUGAAGGAUCUUUUAAACAAAAAAAAGAGUCCAGUACCUGAAGAACAGUUUGCAGUUCUCCCUGUGUGUGAAUCCAUAAUAACAAUGAUGGGUAAAUCUCGAGGGACAAUCAAGGCGGAACAACAUGGUUGUGGACGGAUUUGCCCAAUCCCCACAUGAGACCUGGACGAAGUCUGAGGAAUGUAUAUCUUCCUCAACAAGGACUAUCCUGAAGCUGUGCGCCAGAAGAGGAAAGACCUUAUCCCAUGAAAGCUGUCAGAGCGUGUGAGGACAUUGCUUACAUCCGCUAUGACAGGCUCAUUGUCCACCCUCCCUCCCAGAAGUCUGGAAGGGAUGAGAGAGCCAAGUCUGUGGGUUUGUAGCUUCAUCCCCGCAGCACACACACACCAAUUGAUUCAUGGACUGCUGAAUGUUUUUUUUCUCUCUUACUUUGUUUGCUCUUUUCCAUAUAAUGUCUAUCUUUGAUAAGCUACCCAGGAAAGGGCCGAAAAUUGCCCAUAUUAAUAUAUGUAACCUUAUACAUAAGGUUAAUGAAAUCAAUAACUUGCUCACAUCAGAUAACAUUAAUAUAUUAGCCAUUUCUGAGACUCACUUAGAUUAUUAAUUUGAUGAUACAGCAGUAGCAAUACAAGGAUAUAACAUCUAUAGAAGAUACAGAAAAGCAUAUGGGGGAGGUGAUGCUGUAUAUAUUCAGAGCCAUAUCCCUGUAAUGCUUAGAGAAGAACUUAUGUCAAGUUUUAUUGAAGUGUUAUGGUUGCAGGUUUACUUGGCACAUCUAAAGCGUUUUUUGGGAAUGUUGCUAUAGGCCACCAAGUGCUAACAGUCAGUAUCUAAAUAAUAUGUGUGAAAUGCUUGAUAGUGUAUGUGAUGUACACAGAGAGGUCUACUUUCUUGGGGACCUGAAUAUUGACUGGUUUUCAUCAAGCUGUGUCACGCCCUGACCUUAGUUAUCUUUGUUUUCUUUAUAUUUUGGUUAUGUCAGGGUGUGACUAGGGUGGGUAUGCUUGUUUUUGUAUUGUCUAGGGUUUUUGUAUGUCUAGGGGUUUAUAGGUCUAGGUAAUAUGUAUGUCUAUGGUGGCCUGAUAUGGUUCCCAAUCAGAGGCAGCUGUUUAUCGUUGUCUCUGAUUAGGGAUCAUAUUUAGGUAGCUAUUUUCUCUUUUGUGUUCAUGGGUUCUUGUUCUGUGUUUAGUUGCCUGUCUGCACUACUCAUAUUAGCUUCACAGUUCGUUUUGUUAUUUUGUUCGUUUGUUCAGUGUUCCUUCUUAUAAUAAAGAACAAUGUAUGCUUACCACGCUGCGCCUUGGUUUUCUUAACGAACGUGACAGAAGAACCCACCAUAAAUGGACCAAGCAGCGUGUUCAGGAGGAAUGGACAUGGGAAGAGAUUAUGUAUGAGGACCCUGGACGCAGGAGGGGGAGUAUCGCCGUCCGAAGGAAGAAAUAGAGGCAGCGAAAGCGGAACGGCGAUAUUACGAGGAGGAAUACAAACGAGGCAAGCACGAGAGGCAGCCCCAAUAAUUUUUUGGGGGGCACACGAGGAGAUUGGCUGAGUCAGGUUGGAGACCUGAGCCAACUCCUCGUGCUUACAGUGGUUAGCGUGUGACUGGUCAGGCACCGUGUUAUUUAGAGAUGCGCACGGUGUCUCCAGUUCGUAUUCAUAGCCCGGUGCGCUCUAUUCCAGCUCCUCGCAUUUGCCGGACUAGAAUGGGCAUCCAGCCAGGACGGAUGGUGCCGGCUCAGUGGUCCUGUGUACUGUGUCUCCAGUGCGUCUGCACAGCCCAGUGUGUCCUGUGCUAGUGCCCCGCACUUGCCGGGCUCAAGUGAGCAUCCAGCCAGGACGCAUUGUGCCAGCUCUACGCUCCAGAUCUCCAGUGCGCCUCCAGAGUCCAUUACGUCCUGUGCCUCCUCCCCGCACUCACCCUGAGAUGCGUGUCACCAGCCCGGUACCACCAGUGCCGGCACCUCGCACCAGGCCUCAAGUGCACGUCCAGAGUUCAGUACGUCCUGUGCCUUCUCCUCACACUCGCCCUGAGGUGCGUGUCUCCAGCCCGGUAUCACCAGUGCUGGCACCAGGUAUCCAGUGCGCCUCCGGAGUCCUGAGCUUCCGGCGACGGUACCCGGUCCGGAGCUUCCGGCGACGGUACCCGGUCCGGAGCUUCCGGCGACGGUACCCGGUCCGGAGCCUCCGGCGACGGUACCCGGUCCGGAGCCUCCGGCGACGGUACCCGGUCCGGAGCCUCCGGCGACGGUCCCCGGUCCGGGUUCUCCGUCGAUGAUCCACGGUCUGGUUCUACAAAGGCGGAGGGAUCAGUGUAAAGAGGGUGGACUGCAUCCAGAACCGGAGCCGCCACCGAGGGUAGGAGGC